CCUCCAGUACUGACCCCUGAGGUACCCCACUAGUGACUGUGACUCCUCCAGUACUGACCCCCUGAGGUACUCCACUAGUGACAGUGACCCCUCCAGUACUGACCCCUGAGGCACUCCACUAGUGACUGUGACUCCUCCAGUACUGACUCCUGAGAUACUCCACUAGUGACAGUGACCCCUCCAGUACUGACCCCUGAGAUACUCCACUAGUGACAGUGACUCCUCCAGUACUGACCCCUGAGGUACCCCACUAGUGACAGUGACCCCUCCAGUACUGACCCCUGAGGUACUCCACUAGUGACAGUGACCCCUCCAGUACUGACCCCUGAAGUACCCCACUAGUGACAGUGACCCCUCCAGUACUGACCCCUGAGGUACUCCAC